rnacentral:misc_RNA from 1 species
GAUGAAGAACGCAGCGAAAUGCGAUACGUAGUGUGAAUUGCAGAAUUCAGUGAAUCAUCGAAUCUUUGAACGCACAUUGCGCCCUUUGGUAUUCCAAAGGGCAUGCCUGUUCGAGCGUCAUUUGUACCCUCAAGCUUUGCUUGGUGUUGGGCGUCUUGUCUCCAGUCCGCUGGAGACUCGCCUUAAAGUCAUUGGCAGCCGGCCUACUGGUUUCGGAGCGCAGCACAAGUCGCACUCUUUUCCAGCCAAGGUCAGUGUCCAACAAGCCUUUUUUCAACUUUUGACCUCGGAUCAGGUAGGGAUACCCGCUGAACUUAAGCAUAUCAAAAGCGGGGA